rnacentral:rRNA from 1 species
AUACGUAGGGGGCGAGCGUUGUCCGGAAUGACUGGGCGUAAAGGGCGUGUAGGCGGCCGAUUAAGUCUGGAGUGAAAGUCCUGCAUUCAAUGUGGGAAUUGCUUUGGAGACUGGUUGGCUUGAGUGCGGAAGAGGUAAGUGGAAUUCCCAGUGUAGCGGUGAAAUGCGUAGAGAUUGGGAGGAACACCAGUGGCGAAGGCGACUUACUGGGCCGUAACUGACGCUGAGGCGCGAAAGUGUGGGGAGCAAACAGGAUUAGAUACCCUGGUAGUCCACGCGGUAAACGAUGAAUGCUAGGUGUUGCGGGUAUCGACCCCUGCAGUGCCGGAGUAAACACAAUAAGCAUUCCGCCUGGGGAGUACGGCCGCAAGGUUGAAACUCAAAGGAAUUGACGGGG